CCCGGGACUCCAGGAUCGCGCCCUGGGCCAAAGGCAGGCGCUAAACCGCUGAGCCACCAGGGAUCCCCUACAGCUCAAUUUUUAAUUAAAAUAUAAAAAUAGAAAGGUGAGGUGGCUGUCUGAAUGUGAAAGAACAAAUGUGAAGGUAGAUUUCUUUAUAUUUUUAUUUUUCCAUUGCUGAAAACUUUAAGCCUUUACAUGAGAAAUGUCUGCUCAUAGUUGAACUAAUAAAAUUCUUGAAAUAUCUCUUCCCUCCCUGAAAAUAAACAGACAAUACUGCUUCAUGCAAAUGGGAUAGAUUUACUAAAAAUAACUUUUCUCCAUUCCCUAUAACUCAUAAGGUUCCUUAUGAGGGCAGGCUGUUUUCAUACUUCCUUAUGUCUUUUGAAAUUGGUUAAUCUAGUGUCUGAUAAUACAUUUUUUUUGUCACAGGAUUUUUUUUUUUUUUAAGAUUUUAUUUGUCACAGGAUUUUAAUGCACUUGACAGGAGUGACUGCUGAGGUGCUUGAGAAAGAAAGAGAUGAUGGCUUCUUUUCAAAAAAAAGACUCCGGACUACAUGUCUCAUAAAACUAUAUGGUUUAACUCACCGGCUUACCAACCUUUACAGCAUGCAGCCUCUUAUUUUUCACUCAUGAACAUUUUCUUUUCUAAAAAGUUCUCUAAGGCCUAUAAUUGCCAGCUGGAACUUCAGUCAGCAAGAGAGAACUGAAGUUAACAUGUUGGCCUGGUUAUAAUCUUAGUCAAAAAUAAACUUGACGGAAGAGCUAAUACUGAGUAUCUCCAAUGGGCUGUCCUUGUUUUAAGUUAUUUGAAAUUAAAGUAUAAAUAAGUGUGGGAAUGGAGGUGCCGAGAUACUUUGGUCUAAGACCUAACCAGAAGUAGCCGAUCUGGUACUGGACCCAGGUCAGGCUGAUGGUAGAGCUUUUAGCCACAGCCUAUACUACCUUCUGGAUUUUACCUGCUCUUUGCUGUCUUACUAGGUAAAUAUCAUUAGGUGUCUUUGAAAUACAGACUAAAUGGGAUACUGUUAACUAGUUGGCUAAACUGGUAGUUCCCCCAGCUCAGAACUGUGUAGAUGGGGCCAAAAACUAGUUUUAGGAAUAAGAACACAAGAACUAUUUUGUAUUAUGAUAGUAAAACUACUGAUAGCCACUGAGUAGCUGUGAAACUUCCCUUUGGAAAUACGUGCUAACAGCAUAGCCUCCAUUAAUCAAACAAUGCUUCUAAAACUUGUGUAUGUUUUUUCAAACUACUCUUUUGUACUUGUGACACAACCCGCAAACAUCUAGUGAUUUGAGAUUUCCUUUUACCGGUUUUAAAACAUCUCCUAGUAGAGUGUUUCAGGAUUUGUCUUAAAUUACUUUUAAUAAAAUGGAGCCAGGCUUGUUGGUAUUUUUAUCUGCAAUCAUUAUGAUUUUACAUGGAAUUCAAUUUUAUUGUCUUAACUUUCUUUCCAGAUUGGAGUUCUUACUCUUUGAAGGUAAAAGCCACUUUAUUUUUGUAAACACUUCUUAGUUGCCCUGUUUUGUACCUUCCCUGGCUUUCUUUUAUGUCUUGGAAGUGGCUACCUGAAGGUCAUGAGGUAUGCUGGGUGCAUACAUAACCAUGGCUUUGUGUAGUGUUGAUUAUCCCUCUCCCUUUUUUUUUUUUUUUAACACCUUUCUGAUUACUUGCAGUUCUCUUUCCAUUUUUGUGUGUGUGUGUGCGUGCAUUUUAGAAGUGGGGCAUUACUGUUUUCCAUUUCACUUCAUAGCUCACAUGAUUGGCCUAGGCUAGGGUUAUAGAUAAAGCUAGAGCCGAACCAGAACUUACGUCCUGAUAAUUUUCCUCUCACUUUGAUUCCUGGAGAAAGAAGCAUGUGAGUAUGCUUAAGCAAAGUUCAGUGGCAUCCUGAUUGCCUGUUAACUUUGGAAAAAUGUGUUCUCUACUAGUAACAGCCUAUGUAUGUGUGUGUGUGUAAUACAUAUGUACACUCACAUGGCUGGUGGAUAAACAAUUCAGCAGUAUCAGAACUGGGAUUUACUUAAUGACUUGGAAAGUAUUUGUCACAGUCAGGCUGGCUCUAGUUAAACUUAGCACCAAGACCCAACUUCUGUUCCAGAUAGAUAGCUGAAGAACUAAAGUGCUUGUGAUUGCUUUGGGGCUCCAUCCAGGUAUGUUCUGCCCAGAAGAUUCGUAAUCACAGAUCAUUUUCAUUGCUUUUUAGUCCAAACCAGUGUGCUGAUGGCAGCAGUGACCUUUAUGUCAUUUUAGUUGCCUUUUUUCCUUACCAUCACCGCUCUUGAUCUUAUUGUUUUUGAGGCAGACCUCAAACCUUCUCUGGCUUUUGCUGGCUUGGUUUGAUCCACACUUGUGUAAAUUUCCUUGUCUCCUUGUAAUGUCCCCUUGCUGUGUCUUUUGUCCCUCUUUAGGAACUUCAACCACUGUUAGGACUACAGGAUUUUAUAUCUCUGACCCCAGUCUUUCACUGUCAUGUGUACCUCCAGAUCACAAGAAACUUGAUAAUAUUGAAAAAUAGUUGCCAGUUUGUGUUCAUUUAAUAGCCGCUUAGUAAGUACAUAUGUUCCUGCCCUGUACUGGCAUGGGGGAUAUAAGAUAGACAUCCAGCAUAGGGAACAAAGCCUUAGAGUUAAUGUCUUUGGACAGCACCUCUUGAUCUUACAAGUUAGAAUCUUAAUGGUUCUUCUAUUAGAUUUUCUGUUAAUCAAGUCAUGCUUAUUCUUCCAUGAUGUUUUUUCUUUAAUUUCUCUACUCAUUAAUCUAUCUACUCUAGGGUGGCAGUUCUUAAUCUUCUAAGAGGAUGACUUGGAACCAAUGUGGGAAAAGAUACCAGACCAGUCAUAACAACUAAGAGUUGUACUGUAAUAUUUCAGUUAACUGGAAUACUUCUAUUAAAAGGUUCUAGGAAUUCAGCAAUACUUCAUAAAUGAAUUGUAUUUUACUAAUUACAACAGCCUUUACGUUCAGAUCUAGAUCGUAAUUUUGGAGGGCCACUUUUAUGUUAGAUAAUAUUCUGGGUACUAAAAAUAGAGCAGUGGGUAUAAGAGAGUCUUCUCCCCUUUUGGAGCAAAUGUUCUAUUAAGGGAAGAAAUACACAUUUAGUCUGCUUGACCAACCCCCAGGUCCAAGACUUAACGGUAAGGAGGCAUUGCUCUGUGAUUUACAAGUCAGUUCCUUAGAUUGUUUCACCCCUUAUUAAUUGUCCUCAAUCUCUCCUAUUACUCUCUUUGUCCUGUACAAUUGCCAUAAUUAAUCACACAAACACCAACAAUCCCAUUAGGCCAUGGGAACAAAUCUAAAUUCUUGAAAUUUGAGGCCUUUCAUACACUUGUCUUCCAUUUCGGACCUUUUAUUCCUUUCCUAAUCUGUGAUUCUACAUAAACCUUUACUGUUAGCUUGAGGAAGGUUAUACUGCCUUUGUCCACCUCACUUUUAAUUAAUUAAUUAAUUAAUUAAUUAAAUUUUUUUGGAUUAUUCCAUUUUCUCUUAGGAGACUUGGAAUACAUGGUGGAGCUAUCAAAAUUGGCACAUACUAAAUGAUUUCUAGACUCCAACCACAACUCCAAGGAGCAUUUAGAAUUACUUAAAUGGCAGUUUAACAAGAUUGUAUUGAACCUUGUUACCUAGGUACUGUGGGUAACGAUAUAUAAGUAGAAAAUGCAGAGGAGUCCGAUUUAAUCAUUUGGGUAGGAGAGUUUGCUGUCAGGUUUUGAGGCGAACCUAGUGACUCAAAGGGUUUCCUUGCUCUUGUAAAGGACAUGUAAACCAGACAGUAGAAAAACAUCCUAGUUGGCCACUCCUGGCCUAAAAAUUGCACAGGUGAGUACAUAGAUUUUCAUAUGUUUUUGUGUUUUCUGAAAGGUACUGUGAUGUUACUGCAGUAGUAUCAUACUACAGGUGAAAUUGUUUGAAGAGAUUUUUACUCUAGCCAUGGUGAUAAACUACUUUAGAUGAAGUCAGUUAGACUUGCCAGUGUAUGACAUCUGUGUUCAGCUGUCUCUUCCUGGGGGAAGCGCAAAAGAAAACCUCGAUAUUUUGACCUUUGACUUGAUACCUAAUCUAAUACCCCUUACAUUAGUAUUAGUAACUCCUGAGUUACAUAACUAAUAUCAGUAGUAUCCCUAUUUUAUCAGUGGGAAAACAGGCUUAGCCAGGGUUGUGCAGCUAGUUUGUGAUAAAGCAAGAAGUAGAAUUAGACUUCCUUUCAUUUUCAUCUUUCUCUACAAAUUUGUAUUUUGCUUUUUAGAGCUAGAGACAAUCUUAUGUUAGAUUUAUUGUGGGGGAGUUUUAAAUGACAAGUUUAAAAGAACAAAAGGUUUAUUCUAGCAUAUAAGGUUUAAAUUUGUAGAAACUAAUUUGCUAUUGUGUGCGUCUUUUGCCCUGCACUCAACACCAUAAAAGAUUUCCUUUUCCACGUUUUGUGAUUCAUGUUUGCUUCUGCACAUAUACAGAAACUUCAGAGGAAAGAAGUUAACUUUGUACUUGCAGAUAUAGCCUGGUCACUUUGAUUAUCCCUAGAGCAGUCUUGAACAUUCUGUUCAUUCAUUUACAUGCAGACACACUGCAUAUGGAAGGGCACAGUGCCUACCAUCUCCUGAUACCAAUAUCAGUAAUUGGUGCCAGGCAAGAAGAGGAGUGACACCUUCUAUGUAGGUCUGCUGCUUCUGUGUAAAGACAGCAUUUUAAAGAAUUUACCUAAAAAGCAGUCCUGAAAGUUAGGUAUCCUUAAAUACCUUCUUAAAAUCUGGACUCAAAUUCCAGCCAGUCAGGGAGAUCCCUGCUUUUGGUCUUGCAAAAUUAAAAAUAAUAGCCAAUUAAAAAAAACGAACAACAGAUGACUGUAUGCUUUGUGCUUAGUGCUAACAGCAUUUUUAAGUGCCCACUGCAUGUCAGGUACUUGUGCCAAGCAUUUUAGGGCAGUCUUCUGUAAUAUUACAACUUCACAGAUGAGGACACCAAGAUGCAGAACGUUUUGUAGUAGAACCAUGAUUCAGAUACCCAGUAAUGGGUUGUUAAAACUGCAGUGUGGUAAUAUUGUAGAGAGUCCCUGUUUCACUUUGUUUCUGUUUUAAGUUUGGUGUUUCUCUCUCCAUCUCAGCUUCCCUCUACCCCAUGGUCUGUGUUGGAUUUUCUCUAAGAGAUUUUUGUUUGUUUUGUUUUGCUUUUAUACUUUUUCAAAGGAUUUUAGCAUCUUCAGAAGUGGAAAACUAGGAAUUUACUCUUAAGUUUAAAGAUUUUAUAAAAGACUUAAAUAAUUAUAUUUAAUUAACUUGUGUCUUAAAUUUUUUCAUUUUGAAUUACGUUAUUUAGCGGGAGGGCUAUUGAAGUGUUUCUCUGCCCAUGUAUGAUAUAUUUUAGAUUUCCCACAUUUUUUCCUGGAUAUUUAUCAGGCGAUGGUGUAGAGGUUUGGUAAGUAAUACAGUUUGAUUUUGUAUGUCUCAAGGAUUCUCAUUUAGUCACAUAAUUGAGUUUCCUUUAUUCGGCCUUUUUCCCCCUGGUGAUUCUAUUUGUAGUAUUAACUGAAAAUCCUUGUGCUAAUGCUAAUUUUGGUCUUUUUUUUCACUAGCAUGUAUUGGAGCACUCAGACUUGGAGAAGGACAUAGGUAAAAAGUAUAAUAUGGAACAUUUUCUAAAAUUUAGGGUUAUGAAAUCUUCAGUUGCAUACUUGGCAUAUUCAACAUUAAAAUUAUUUAUAAAACAAUUUAAAUGGUUUAGCUUUUGCCAGAAUGAUUAUGGGUAUUUUGAUUCUCUUUUAUUUUAUAAACAUAGCAUCAAUUUUCUUAAUCCUUAAGGUCAAUAAAGGCGAUCUCAUGUUAGAAAUCGUUUAACAACUUUGAAGUAUUUCACCUUUGUGUGAAAUUUUAUACAGGACUUCAAUUACUUAAAAAAUGAAUAGCACACAGUAAAACACAUUUUAGAUUUAUCAGAAUCAGGCCUUACUGCUGCUUUGUCCCAAAUACUUCCUUACACCCCCAGAACCUUCAUUGGGUUUUUAAGUUAAUUUGAUGACACCAAAAAUGUUAACACAUUAAUUUUCAUCAAGUGUUCUUUGAAAGCUAGAUACCUGCAGGUUUUUUUACUUGAAGUUACCUGAAGUUUGGUUAUACUCCAUUUAUUUGUAGUAGAACUCUGUAGUGAAUGAUUAGAAGGACUAGGUUCUUCUGCAAAGUCAGAGAGAACAUGAGUUUCUGCAUGUGCAUAAUACAUACUAUCUCUUUUCCUACUUUGUCUUGAUAAUCAAGUCUUUUAGGAACAAGGCUGAUGGCAAUCUAGAAAAAUUUGGAACAAAACUGUAAAAAAAAAAAAAAACGUGGUGUUCUGCAUCUCAUUUAUAGUAACCUAUAAAGAAGGUCAGAUUGAGAAAUUCACCCAUUAGUCCAUUGAAGAAUUUAAUUUAAAACAAAACAAAAACUAGUAGAAAGGAAUCAAAGAUUGUUAAGGCAUCUUUGAAAGUAUUUUGUCAUCAGUUGGGAAUCCAUCUGGUAUAUAAACAUUUUGUAUGUUCAGUGGAUUUUUAGGAAUUAACCGAUUUCAUAAAGCAGGGAGAAAACUGUUAAUUCAAGUGUGUCUAUUGACAUUUGGAAAUACUGUGUCCAUUUAUUUCUAAAAAUGACAUUCCAAUUUAUGUAACAGUUGCUGGCAAAAUUCAUUUGAAUCUAGAUUUUCUAAUUUCUUUGCUUUAGCACUGUUUUUUAAUUGGUAAAAAAAUUGGUAAUUUCCAAUUAAUUCAAUUUAAUUGGAAAACGGCUUGAAAAAUGGAGCUGUGUGUUGGUAUGGUAGUGUUUUCAUGAGAGAGUGCAGUAACUGACUUGCCAAGGAUUAAAAGAUAGUCAUACAUUUAAGAUUUCUUUUCCUUUGAAGUUUGGGCUAGAAAUUUAUAGCCUUUGGCUCAUGAAAUAGCAGCUUCUGUACUGCUAUUUCAUAAAGAUGUAGGAGUACUUCUGUACUCCUACAUCUUUACCUAAGGGAAAGCCUUACUUUCACUCAAAAAUAGCCUCCAUUCACCUUGUCCUUUAUAAUCUGCCCAGUGACCUUGAGUUCUGAGGUUCCCUCUUAGAACCAAAGGCAAGAAAUAAGGGAAGAGAGUGCUAAUCCCAUAAACUUUGCAGCCUCUGAAUUUAACCCUUUGGGUGAUGUACAUGAAAAGUAAUGUUUUUUACUAUAGAUCUGCCUCUAGUUUCAACACUGAUUUUUUUUUCCCUGAAAUUUCCAAGAGCUUAGCUUAAGGUCUUUCAAAGAAAAUGGAGGCGAAAAGCCCUUAAAUGUUAGGAGAAGAGAAUUAUGCAAGGAAAAUAUUUUUCUAAAAAAAAAAAUAAUAAAGAGGUUAGAGGGAAUGGAGUGAGGUUAGCAUUAGGUAGGUAGGAAAUGAUACAAAUAAAUAUUAAAUAAUCUAUAGUCUGGUUUUGUUUUCUAUAUGGUUUACUUAACAACUAACAUGAAAUGAGUGUUUCAUUCCCUAAGCAUGCAGUUGGGGAAGAAUGGGAAGCCAGCCUGGAGGCACAAAUUUGCAGCAGAUAAUCUGAAUCCAGGUAGCAAAAAUGCUUCUAAUGCAUUCAGUUCAAAAGCAACAGCCUCUUCAAAAGAGAAAACCUAUAAAUAAUCACGAAUCUGAUCACCUUCACCAUCAUCUAACAGAUUGGAUAAGACUUCAUGAAGGCUGCUAAGAUAGAUAAUGAUUAUUGCAAAGUGCACGUUUUUAAAUGGUCUCCAGUGCCGACUGCUGAGCCAGUGAUGGAAUGAGUACAUUGAGGAAGAAUGUGUCAUUUGGAAUCCAGGACCAUUCAGCAAGAAUAACUGCCUGAUAUAUGGUCAGAAUACUCAAACUCUUACGGCAUAUUGAUGGCUUUCUCUCCCAUCCCCCUAAAAGCAAGUUUUAUUGGCCUGAAUUCUCCUAAUCUAGCUAUUUCUAUUUCCAUUUCCAAAGUAGUGACCUAGUUCUGUCAUUUUGGGGUUGAAGUGUCAGUUUGUGAGUAAAACAAACAUAUUUAAUGAUUUACAGGAAGCAAAUAAAAAAAAUUGAUUGUAAACUACUUGAAGUGUAGAAAGUUUUGAUUUUCAGUUUAUGAUUCUGCAAAGCAUAAAGACAUUUCUUGGUUAAUUAAUUCCACAUGAAUUAUUUAAUACUUUUUCCCUCUUAUCUAAUUAAUACUAAUUUUCUAUAACUAAGAAAGCAAUUGAGGAAUAAGCCUUUGAAUUUAAAGCUUGUACUAAUGACAGAGAAAGUUCACCUUUUUUCUGAUUUAAGUGGUAUAUAAAUAUCAAUUUAAAAUUUGACAAAUUAGAAAAUCAUUUAGAACAAUUUGGCAUUAUUUUUUAUUCCCAUUGUUAGAACUGUUUUGCUUUACAUUUAUACUGCAAAAUAAAUCAAGGAUACAGACUCAUACUAAGAUGAUCACCUUGUAUUUGGUCUUCAUGGGAAUUAUGAUUGAUCGAUUGAUUAUAAGCCCUCUGGCCAAUGUGGAGCUUGAACCCAUAACCCCGAGACACAUGCUCCACUCACUGAGCCAGCCAGGUGCUCCUUCAUGGGAGUUAUGCGUUUUUUCACUCAACAUUUACUAAAGGAACAAACAAAAUUUUAGGCUGUAGUAGUGAACUAAUUCCCUUUAGCUUGACUGAGCUGAAUUUCAUUAAGGAAUAGAACAUUUAAUUCACUUCCACAUACUUUAAGGUAUGACUCAUCCCUUUUGAAGUUAUGAGACUCAAAACUACACCGGAAUCACUUAAUUUAUGUCCUUCCCUGUUUACUGUGUCUGACCUUCAAGAUUUCGUGACUGAUGCUGAAAUGGAAGCCAACCAGUGCAGAAAUUUUGGGGAAAAUGAACCUGAAGAAUGCAAAGGGAAGUAGGAAUUCAUUUCUAGCAUUCCCAAACCUGCUUUGUCGUGUGAACUCCACUGCAGUCAGAGGAAAAGAACUGAGUUCAUGGAAAUUACCAGCUAAGCCUUACAUCUUCUUUAAUGUUUUUAGGAAAUAUUCUGAAAAGGUAAGUGAGAUGUCUCUUUUGAAGAAAGACUCUUAAUGCGGUAUUUUUAAACUAAUUGUUCCAUAUUAGUAAAGAUAGUUUCCUUAUUCUGAGCUUCAAAAUGUCUUGUUCCCAUUUGGUUUGGUUCUCAGUAUUGUGGGGGUGAGGCUUGUUCCAGCCAACGUGGAGUUUUUCUUCUGUUUCUCAGCAGUGAAGCUGGAACUUGGGUUGAAAUGUACAGAGUGCUGAUUUUUGUUGUUUUGUGCUCAAAUUCUUUCUUGAAUUGUUUUAUUGUAGUUUUAAUUUUAUCCCUUGCUGUAUCUAUAGAAAACUUGUCAAGUUUUCAGAGUUACUACCAGAACUACAUUUACAUCAUAUGCUGUGAAAUACUGCCCAAUUUUGGGCUUUUAUAGGUCUCCAUUAACAUUCACCUCUAUGGGUUUUGUAGAUAAUUUUCAGAUUCCUAGGACUAAAUUUGUUUCACAUUCAUUACACAUCAAUGAUGUGGCAUUGUGCCAGACCCUGAAUACAAAGAUGGACUAGCACACAGUACAUGUCUUUUACAAGCUUAUUUUUACCGAUAUGAUACAGAUGGAAUUCUAGUUUAGGAAAUAAAAAUCUAACAAAAUAAAGCUAAUUCCAUUUCCCCAUCAACAGUCCACUCUAGCUUGUGAAUCUGGAUAUGACAGAUUGUAUUUGAAAGAUCCUGUGCAUGUGUGCACUUGUGUGUGUGUGAGAUUUGCAAAACACUUCAUAUGUAUUAAGUACUCUUCUAUACAUUUAUUUUUUUAGAUCCUCAGAGCUAUCCUAUGAGAUGAAUGCUAUUUAAGGCAGAGAAAUAAUUAACUUGCCGAAGUUUGUACACCUGUGAUCUAGGACCAGUAUUUGAACCCAAACAGGCAGAUUACAAAUCUUGCACUCUUAAUUGGGGUGUAAUAUUUAUAUGGAGUACCUGGCUGUGAGUACCCACAGAAGAUGCCAUUUUUUUUAUAUAAUCUCUGUGUCCAACAUGGCACUCAAACUCAUGACCCUGAGAUCAAGAGUCACUCACUCUACCAACUUAGCCAGCCAGAUGCCCUAAAACAAUCCAAAUUGUUAAUGAAAAAUUUGGAAAGGAAAGUUCAAAUAGCCCCCCGCCCCCAAAAUAUGCACACACACAAAAUUGAAAGAGUAGAAACCGAGAAGAGGAGCUUAUCUCAGUUAUGUUUUAUUUGUUUUUCAGUUAUGUUUUAUAUCCAAUACCUAUUGUCCCUCAGGUUUACCCCUUUUUGGAAUGUGUACAUUUUCUUUAGCUGCUAAAUCAUGAGAAAAUAUGACUGCUGAGACUUUUCCUAGGAUUCUUUAAAAAAUAGAUUAGGCUUCAGUGCAGAUAUAGAAAAGUGCUCUGAGAACCCCAGGUAGGUAAUUUACGCCCUGUUGUAUGCACAGUUUAUUUGAAGCUUCUGCACCUCUACGCCUUUUGUUUUAUACUCCUGUAAAUAUGAUUUGACCUUUAAUAAAGUGUUUUCUGAAGUGA